rnacentral:rRNA from 1 species
GUGAGGAAUAUUGGGCAAUGGGCGAAAGCCUGACCCAGCCACGCCGCGUGAGUGAUGAAGGCCUUCGGGUUGUAAAGCUCUGUGGGGAGGGAAGAAAAAGCGGGAGAGUAACUGCUCUCGUGUUGACGGUACCUCCUUAGCAAGCACCGGCUAACUCUGUGCCAGCAGCCGCGGUAAUACAGAGGGUGCAAACGUUGCUCGGAAUUACUUGGCGUAAAGCGCGUGUAGGCUGACAUGCAAGUCGGGUGUGAAAUCCCAGGGCUCAACCUUGGAACUGCACUCGAAACUGCACGUCUUGAGUACUGGAGAGGGAAGCGGAAUUCCGGGUGUAGAGGUGAAAUUCGUAGAUAUCCGGAGGAACACCAGUGGCGAAGGCGGCUUCCUGGACAGUAACUGACGCUGAGACGCGAAAGCGUGGGGAGCAAACAGGAUUAGAAACCCCAGUAGUCC